GUGGUUCGUCUCGAGGAUCGGCUUUUUCUGGUCUUGUCUUUUAAUGGAGUUUCUUGAUUAUUACGGAAAUCUCGUCUUUGAUUCUUUAUUUUUUGGCUAUUUAGAUACUUCGAUUUGUCUUAAGAGAUAAUUGAGAAUUCUUGUUCUUCCUGUCUCUUUCUUCUUUCUCUUUCUCUCUGUGUUUUGCUUUUAUUUGGAGUUGAUUUCUUUAGUUUACGGGCGACUUUUACCUUUGAACCUCGUUUUGCUUUUCUAUAUGUUUCUAAUCUAUGGUCUUAGUGUGUGCUGAGAGAGAAUUCAGGAUUACCAUCUCUCUCUCUCCAAAAACUAAGGAUUUCAUUUGAAAAGUGACCAUUGUUUUGUUUCAGGCAUCAACUUUGUUUGAUUUGGAAUCUCUCGUCUGGAUGCCUUUCUCAUCUUCUCUCUCUAAAAAUUGAGGAUAAAUUGUUGACUCUCAUGUUGCUUCUUCUCCAAAUGAUUAUGUUUUUUCUUUCUCAAAUUUCUCUGACAAAAAAUGUUUGUUCUCUACAUCAUUUAAGAUAUUUUUUGGCUUCGAAAUGAGGUAUUAUAGCCUGGAUAUGUCUCCUCAUGAAGAUCCUUAUAAUCUAAUCUUAAACCAACAUUUUUGUUUGUUACAGGAUAUUCAUUUACCGGAAUGGCAUUUUGAUGAAGCUAUUGGCUUUUCUAGUGGUUUACCUGAAAGGUAAUAUAUUGUUUCAUUAUCAUUCUUUAUCUGGCUGGCGUGAAAGUUGAAACUUUAAACACUAGAAAUGAUCUAAAUUGGGCAUUGAACUCUCUUAUUUUGCAGGCAUGUUUUGAUGGCUUUUCAUUGUAUUAUGGUGACCUUGCGUGACAACGAGAGAGAGCACGCUUGUGGCCAUUCAUGUGAGGUACAUGCCUGUGCACAUGCGUGCUCUUUCUCGUUGUCACCUAAGUAUUCUUGGCAUUACUAGAAGGUUAUGGUUUUUUCAGGUGUUCCCUCAUGCUAGGAUGCUCAUUAUUAGUCGAGGUUUCUUAGCAUUUGUCUGAUUUCUUGAUGAGUUGCGAUUUCUUCCUAUUUUGUAUGAUUUUUGAGAAGAUCUGUGUAUCUCCAGAAGAAGUGUAUGUGAACCGUGGAUGUAGAAUUGAUUCCUUUAUUUGGUUUUGCAUACUUAAAAGUUGAGAUAGUAGCCUGUAUAGAACUGUCAAAGUCUCUUGAUAAUAAAAAUAAAUAGUUGUCUCUGUAGCUGGAAAAAUAUGAUUUUGCUGUUGUUUCUGUUGGAUAUCUUGUAAUCUUUCUGUCAAACCCUAGCCUUGCUGCUUUUUCUGGCAAUGGGGUGCCUUGUUUGGGGUUUCUAGAUUUUAAUAUUCUCGCAUCAGGUGUGAUGGAUUUUAUACCUUCAGUCGUCUAUCAUUCUUCAGUUGACAUGUUUGAGAUUCUUUUACGGAUUUCAUCUAUUGUUCAUGAACAAAUUUUCUUGGGUUUACAUGGUUAGCUUGCUAUGGAUCUCAGGUUAUUCUUUUAGGUUGCUAAUUGAGUUCAUCCCCACUCUUGCUCUCCUCUCUUUGGAUAGCUGACGAUGACUUGCUCACUUCAUGUUUGCCCUUAUGCUUCUUUGGGCACUUCCUUAUGGUUUCUGUAUGAGAAAUCAUAUCUUGGCAGGCACGAGAAUGUUAAGUAGGUGCUAAGGAGAUUUAUGGAUCUUUGUCCCAAGAAGCUUUAGUUUUCACGCCAAAAUGAGAUAAUUCCUUUUUACUACUUAAGAGUAGUAUGGGGACCCUAAGCUGUGUCAAAUAACCCUUUUGUAUUUUGGGUUUUUGAGAUUACAUCAAGCAAUAUUUGAAAACUCUUGAAGUCUGCAAAUGUUCACUUUAUAGUUGUUACUUGUAAUCUAGAAUUUGGUUUUUAUCAGCUCACUGUAUUGGAAGAUGUUUACUACUCAUUUUAUUAUUCUUGUUCCAUGGGUUGCCAUUCAUUAUUUCGUGGGUAUUGAAUUGACUUUGUUUCUCCGGCUAAUAAGCUGGAUACGAUAUUCCUUUGAUAUUUGCUGUUCUCACAAUAUAGAAUUAAUCUGCAUGCGCUGGCUCAUUAUUUGAUUUCUAAGGCCUUCGCAAUAUAUGAAAAUUAUGUAUAGAUUGGAUGUGUGGUAUUUGUUAGAAUAUCCUUGUCUAUUUAUUUAGGGAUGAUAAGUUCUCACUAAUAUUUGAUAUCUUGUUGGCAAAAGGUUUGGUGAAUGGUGAUUGUGAUAUCUGCAUGAUGAUUCUUUUGGUUUUUGACAAUUUGUUGGUAGUUUGUUAUAUCUUUGAGUUGUUCACUAGGUGCAGUUUUCCCUAUAAAGUUAGGGCUUUGAUUGAAUAAAAUUGAAAUUGAGAUAACUAUCCUAUAGUGCUUGAAUGGAACUCAAUUUUUUGUUUUUGACAAAGGAACAAGAAGUUUUAAAAGAGAACGAUGGCAUAGAGAACUACUCAAAAUGACUAGGACAAACGAAGAUCCUCUUACCUGGCACAUAAAGACUCUUCUCAAUUCUUUAGUGGCAAAAGCCUCCACCUCAACUGUUAUGAUUUUAGUUAAAAAAUGAACUUGUGGAGUUAGGACAUGCAUAAAAUCGUACGAGGGUUUGUUAUGAUAAGUGAUGCAAGUACUGCUUGUAAUUCAUGUAUUUUGUGGCAGUAUCGAUGCUUUAUAAACUUUUGAGUGGCUUUUUUGUGGUUGGCCAGCAAAUAAUCUAGACUUGAUUAUAAUCUGUGUUGCACUGUACUGUGUAUUAUUGUGGCAUACGUUUUAUGUGAUGGAUCUAUAUUGCUGUGGUAUGAUAUUUAAAUACAUAAUUUUCAGCUUUUGGAAAGAAAUUAAUAU
rnacentral:lncRNA from 1 species